rnacentral:misc_RNA from 1 species
GUCUGUACAGAUGGUAACUGUUGUAAUGGAAGCUCUUGUGAAAAGAGUUCUAAUGGCAGAAUCUGAAACUGCAAUUGAGAAAGAUAAGGUAACAUUAGGUCAGGAAGAAAUUAGGAAGAAGGCAAUCCAAAUUGAGACCAUGUCUUCAAAAUUAGAGGAGAUGGAGAGAUUUGCCCUUGGAACAAAUAGUAUUCUUAAUGAGAUGCGCCAGAGGGUUGAGGAUUUGGUUGAAGAAACAUCAAGGCAGAGGCAAAGAGCUGCAGAAAAUGAACAAGAGCUUUGCCGUGUUAAAAGGGAUUUUGAGUCAUUGAAAUCAUAUGUUAGCAGUCUCAUUAGUGUAAGAGAGACACUUCUUUCAUCGGAGAAGCAAUUUCAAACUAUUGAGAGGCUUUUUGAACGGCUAGUUGCAAAGACAACUCA